rnacentral:rRNA from 1 species
GAUGAACGCUAGCUACAGGCUUAACACAUGCAAGUCGAGGGCCCGGCGCACGGGAGAGUAACGCGUAUCCAACCUUCCCAUUACUUUGGGAUAACCUGCCGAAAGGCAGACUAAUACCGCAUGGUAAUGGGUGGGGAUGCGGUGGAUUAGUUUGUUGGCGGGGUAACGGCCCACCAAGGCGACGAUCAGUGGGGGUUCUGCAGGUAAGGUCCCCCACAUCUGAACUGAGACGCGUGCCACCAGCCUACUGGAGUCAGCAGUGUGGGAGAUUGGUCAAUGGGCGGUAGCCUGAACCAGCCAAGUAGCGGGCAGGAUGACGUCCUAUGGGUUGUAAACUGCUUUUUUAUGGGGAUAGGUACCAUACGAAUAAGGACCGGCUAAUUCCGUGCCAGCAGCCGCGGUAAUUC